rnacentral:rRNA from 1 species
GAUGAACGCUGGCGGCGUGCCUAAUACAUGCAAGUCGAGCGAACAGACGAGGAGCUUGCUCCUCUGACGUUAGCGGCGGACGGGUGAGUAACACGUGGAUAACCUACCUAUAAGACUGGGAUAACUUCGGGAAACCGGAGCUAAUACCGGAUAAUAUACUGAACCGCAUGGUUCAAUAGUGAAAGACGGUUUUGCUGUCACUUAUAGAUGGAUCCGCGCCGCAUUAGCUAGUUGGUAAGGUAACAGCUUACCAAGGCAACGAUGCGUAGCCGACCUGAGAGGGUGAUCGGCCACACUGGAACUGAGACACGGUCCAGACUCCUACGGGAGGCAGCAGUAGGGAAUCUUCCGCAAAGGGCGAAAGCCUGACGGAGCAACGCCGCGUGAGUGAUGAAGGUCUUCGGAUCGUAAAACUCUGUUAUUAGGGAAGAACAAAUGUGCAAGUAACUAUGCACGUCUUGACGGUACCUAAUCAGAAAGCCACGGCUAACUACGUG